CAGUCGCCACGGGAAUACGUAGGUGGCAAGCGUUGUCCGGAUUUAUUGGGCGUAAAGCGAGCGCAGGCGGUCAAUUAAGUCUGAUGUGAAAGCCCCCGGCUCAACCGGGGAGGGUCAUUGGAAACUGGUUGACUUGAGUGCAGAAGAGGAGAGUGGAAUUCCAUGUGUAGCGGUGAAAUGCGUAGAUAUAUGGAGGAACACCAGUGGCGAAGGCGACUCUCUGGUCUGUAACUGACGCUGAGGCUCGAAAGCGUGGGUAGCAAACAGGAUUAGAUACCCGGGUAGUCCCUGUCUCUUAUAC
rnacentral:rRNA from 1 species